AAGUCGUAACAAGGUUUCCGUAGGUGAACCUGCGGAAGGAUCAUUAACACGUAUCCAACGUUAAAACAACCCUGUGAACCUUCAAUUUUGCUCGCGUGACUCCAUAAAAAAGCAGCAAUCCCUGGUAAAUCAUUGUCACCCCCAAGCAAUCAGAGUUCUGAAAGCGUCUUUGAUUGUGUAAGGGUGGCGCAAACACGAUCGUUGGAGGCCGACACGGCCGACGACCGGGUCCCUGGGUCACCAUGCCCCUUAAUCACCACACUGUAACGCCGACAGGUCGCGAUAAUUCCGCUGACCACAAAAAACCGAACAACUGUUAACAAUGGAUAUCUUGGUUCUC
rnacentral:misc_RNA from 1 species